AACUCCAAACAUUCAAAACGCAUUGUUGAAUGGAAUUAGGUAUUUUGAGUGUUUGGAAUUGA
rnacentral:pre_miRNA from 1 species